GAUCAUCCUCAUGGUGGAGGUGAGGGUCGGAGCAAAAGUAGUGGGUCCUUUGGAAGGGUGUCUCAAACGCCAUGGGGCAAGCCAACUAAAUGUGGUAGGAAUCAACAACGAAAGAGAAAUGGCAAAUUUAAAUGAUCUUUUUUUCUGUUUGGUUGCUAGAUGUUGGCUUGCAGUUUUAAUGCACUUCAACGGUUCUAGCACCUAUGGCUUCCGGUCAAGAGAACUUCUAAAGUGAAGUUUGCGUCUAGGUGGAGUUAAUUUGAAUUGUUUCAUUACUUCAAAAUUGACUAAUUUUGAUACAUUCGCCGUUAUAAAUCCAGAAUUGAUGCACUGUAUACGAUCAUAUUUGUUCCCCUUAUUUGCUAUAUUUU
rnacentral:misc_RNA from 1 species